rnacentral:rRNA from 1 species
AGUGAACGCUGGCGGUAGGCCUAACACAUGCCAGUCGAACGGCAGCACAGUAAGAGCUUGCUCUUACGGGUGGCGAGUGGCGGACGGGUGAGGAAUACAUCGGAAUCUACUUUUUCGUGGGGGAUAACGUAGGGAAACUUACGCUAAUACCGCAUACGACCUACGGGUGAAAGCAGGGGAUCUUCGGACCUUGCGCGAUUGAAUGAGCCGAUGUCGGAUUAGCUAGUUGGCGGGGUAAAGGCCCACCAAGGCGACGAUACGUAGCUGGUCUGAGAGGAUGAUCAGCCACACUGGAACUGAGACACGGUCCAGACUCCUACGGGAGGCAGCAGUGGGGAAUAUUGGACAAUGGGCGCAAGCCCGAUCCAGCCAUACCGCGUGGGUGAAGAAGGCCUUCGGGUUGUAAAGCCCUUUUGUUGGGAAAGAAAAGCAGCAGGUUAAUACCCCGCUGUUCUGACGGUACCCAAAGAAUAAGCACCGGCUAACUUCGUG